ACCCAAUGUGAACGUUACCAAACUGUUGCCUCGGCGGGGUCACGCCCCGGGUGCGUCGCAGCCCCGGAACCAGGCGCCCGCCGGAGGAACCAACCAAACUCUUUCUGUAGUCCCCUCGCGGACGUAUUUCUUACAGCUCUGAGCAAAAAUUCAAAAUGAAUCAAAACUUUCAACAACGGAUCUCUUGGUUCUGGCAUCGAUGAAGAACGCAGCGAAAUGCGAUAAGUAAUGUGAAUUGCAGAAUUCAGUGAAUCAUCGAAUCUUUGAACGCACAUUGCGCCCGCCAGUAUUCUGGCGGGCAUGCCUGUCCGAGCGUCAUUUCAACCCUCGAACCCCUCCGGGGGAUCGGCGUUGGGGAUCGGGACCCCUCACACGGGUGCCGGCCCCGAAAUACAGUGGCGGUCUCGCCGCAGCCUCUCCUGCGCAGUAGUUUGCACAACUCGCACCGGGAGCGCGGCGCGUCCACGUCCGUAAAACACCCAACUUUCUGAAAUGUUGACCUCGGAUCAGGUAGGAAUACCCGCUGAACUUAAGCAUAUCAAUAAGCGGAGGGAAAGAAACCAACCAA
rnacentral:rRNA from 1 species